GGGGGGGGAUGUAUUUCAUUUCGUUGAAGUGCAGAGUGUGCCAGCCUCCCUGCAGCAGUAUCGGGAGGGACUCGCUAGCUGCGUAAUCCAGACUUCACUCAAACAAGCUUACAGAUGAGAAGAUAUACGAACCGAAAUUCCCGGAAGGUUCUAAUGAGGACGGACCGGCCAGCUGCUAAUUUUUCAUCCCUCGAUUUCGAAAUACGAAUCGUAAGAUGACGUGGUGCAGCCUCCUAUUCUUCUCGACUUUGGGACGUUUUCAGAGGCGUUUCGCGGUAAAGGAGAAAAAAAAAAAAAAAAACAAAAAAGAAGGACCGUUCAAUUGUAUUUCUGUUUCUCGUCGGACAACGUAACGAACGCUCUUUUUGACUCAUGUAUGGUAUAAAAGCGCGAACGGGACGCGCAACGACCGCAACCAGACUACGCUUUUACUCUCCGGGGACCAUUUAGAAAAUGAAAAACAAAAGCUCGCUUACUACAUUGCUACAUUGCUUCGCUUUGUAACGGUCUUUCCCUCGGUAUUGUUCAAGGGUAGGUAAUAUACACGUACGUGUACGUGUACGUUACGUACGCAUUGUACCGAUCCACGUACACGUGGCUCUAGGUGGUCGCGUUGCAACUCAACACACAAGAGGCAAAGUUCGCUCGAAUUUAAUUCCCCC